rnacentral:rRNA from 1 species
GCAUAGCGGCUAGCUAAACUGUCUGGGGAAUGGCUCGGUUCGGGCGCCGAAGAAGGUCGUGCCAAGCUGCGAUAAGCGCCGGGUAAGCGCAAGGAGCUAUUGAUCCGGCGAUGACCGAAUGGGACUUCCUGCUCUUUGGAGCAAUCCGUGAGGAUAGGGAACCGGGGGGAUUGAAGCAUCUUAGUACCCCGAGGAAAAGAAAUCAACCGAGAUGCCGUUAUUAAAGGCGAUCGAACGCGGCAUAGGGCAAACUGAAUCCUGCCUAGAAAUAGGCCGGAGAUGUGGUGUUGUAGGCCCCGGGUACAUCUUAACCAGUCAACUCGAAGUCUCCUGGAAUGGAGCGCCGUAGAGGGUAACAGCCCUGUAGAGAUAAGCUGGAAAGAUGAUUCCGGGUGUCCUUGAGUAGUGCGCAUUGGAUAUUGCGCGUGAAUCUGGGAGCCACUGGCUUCCAACCCUAAAUACGACCCGAGACCGAUAGUGCAGUAGUAGCGUGAGCGAAAGCUGAAAAGUACCCUUAACGGGAGGUGCAAAGAGCCUGAAACCAGAUAGUGACAGUAAUAUACGGCAUGCAAGGGACGAAACUCGCAAGAGUGGACCGAUGUCGUAUUAUCCGUUUCGAAUAACGGGCCAGGGAGUUCGGAUCGAUGGCGAGGCUAAUUGGAUAAUCCAAGCAGCCGAAGGGAAACCGACAAGUCCGCAACCCGCAAGGGCCAGGGACGAGGUGGGCUCGCCUGUAGUCAUCGGUGAGAGACCCGAAGCCAGUUGAUCUAGGCGUGGAUAGGUUGAAGCCCAGGGAAACCUGGGUGGAGGACCGAACCCGUGUUGAGGUGCAAAUCACUGGGAUGAUCUGCGUCUAGGGGUGAAAGGCCAAUCUAAACUGGACAUAGCUGGUUCCCCCCGAAACUACUCGCAGGUAGAUCUUGGACGAGGCGGACGAUGGGGUAGAGCGACCGAUUGGACAUUUAGGGGGAGAAAUCCCUCGGUGUCCUGCCAAACUCCGAACCUGUCGUCACCGUAGACUCCAGGAGUGAGCAUAUGAGGGGUAAGCCCCGUAUGCGAAAGGGGAACAACCCAGCCUCAAGUUAAGGUCCCUAAGUAUUGACUAAGUGUGAACGGGCAAAAGGAGUCCUUAGUCAGAGACAACCGGGAUGUGGGCUUAGAAGCAGCCAUCAUUUAAAGAUAGCGUAACAGCUCACCGGUCAAGAUCAAGGGCCCUGAAAAUGGACGGGGCUAAGUCAGUCACCGAUACUUGAGAGUACCGAAAGGUAAUCUGGUAGGGGGGCGUCGUGUGCGGAUAGAAGUUCGGCCGUGAGGUCGAAUGGACCGCAUUCGAAUGAGGAUCCUGGUGGGAGUAGCAGCAAAGAGCGGUGAGAAUCCGCUCGGCCGUAGGGGCAAGGGUUCCUCGACAAUGUUCGUCAGUCGAGGGUUAGUCGAUCCUAAGGUGUUCCUUAACCGAGAACAUCGAAAGGGUAAGCAGGUUAAUAUUCCUGCACCGCUCCAGUCUCUGCACACAUCCUGACACAUCUGGGUAAGCUGAGCAGGAGCGCCAAUCUGUUCAAGUGUAUAUGCCUGGGGAGAACCGUAAUGGUGAGAACCGGGCGAAAUCACGAGUAGGAGGGCGAAGGCCCUCUUCAGCCUAUCCCGGGUGUCCGUGAAAAGGGAUGUGUUAAACAACUGGAGUGUUCGUACCAAGAUCCGACACAGGUGCCCCUGGAUGAGAAGUCUAAGGCCUGUCGGCGUUAAUUGACGCGAGGGAACUCGGCAAAUUAGCCGCGUAACUUAGGGAGAAGCGGUGCCAGCUCAGUGAUGAGCUGGUCGCAGUGGCAAGGGAGCCCCGACUGUUUAACCAAAACAUAGGUGGCAGCUAGUCCGAAAGGAUGUGUAUUGCCGCUGAAUCCUGCCCAGUGACGGUAUCUGAAACUCCUUUACAAGGGAGCAAAGGACCGUUAAACGGCGGGGGUAACUAUGACCUUCUUAAGGUGACAAAAAUCGCGUUGCCUUAGUAAAAUUUGGCUAUAUGCUGGAACGCCUGAGUAUCUCACACUACUAUGGCAUUUUCAGUCAACCCCUCUGCAAAGAGUGAUGACUGGGAUCGUCGAGUGACAAUGUGAUGAGUGCAGGUAAUCAGCAGGAAAGGCUAGAUGCAAAUUGGGUCGUUGGAUUCGUAGAUGGAGAAGGAUGCUUCCAUAUUGGCAUUAAUCGUCAACCCGGAAUGAAGCUGGGUUGGCAAGUACUGCCAGAAUUCCGAGUAGUCCAGCACCGAAGGGAUGAGAGAGUACUGAGAAGACUACGGUCAUUCUUUGACUGUGGACAGAUCUGCGUGAACAACGGAGAUCGAUUGGAACUCAGAAUCAGAGGAGUCCGCAAUCUGAAGAAGGUUGUUGAAUUCUUUGAAGAAUAUCCGCUUCGGACGAAGAAGAUGUAUGACUACGAUAAGUUCGCGGAAGUCGUCAGAAUAGUCGACUCAGGUCGGCAUCUGACGGUAACCGGACUAAUGGAAGUGGCUGAACUCGCAAGAAGUAUGAAUCGAAGGACCAAUAGUAAUGCAACUAGAAUCCUCAGAGACUAUACGAUAGACACCAGCGAUGGUGAAGAUAUAGUCCGACCCUCAUGGCGACAUGAGGAGGUUACGAGAAAUCGUGAUCCGCCUCUGAAUGAUCAGAGGUCCUAAAAGUAACAGAUGUGAGCGUAAUACCUUGUCGCUUAAUUGGCGACUUGCAUGAAGGCCCAACGAGAGCUCUACUGUCCCCGCGUCGAGGCCGGUGAAACCUACAUGACGGCGCACAGUCCGUCAAUUUCCAGCUGAAAGCGAAGACCCCGUGGAGCUUUACUGCAACCUGUCGUUGUGAUAUGAGUCCAAUUGUGUAGUGUAGGCGGGAGACGUUACCAGGGCUGACCGCUAGGUCAGUUCCGAGUCGACGAUGAAACACCGCUCUUUUGAACUCGUACCACUUACAUCCUCGGAUGGACACCGGUAGGUGGGCAGUUUGGGUGGGGCGCCACGCCCUCGAAAAGAUAACAAGGGCGCCCUAAGGUCGGCUCAGAUAGGUCAGAAAUCUAUCGAAGAGUGCAAGGGCAAAAGCCGGCUUGACGUGGAUCAGCCCAACAAUGAUCCACGAUGAGAAAUCAGGGCCUAGCGAACCACUGUACCUCACUAGUGGGGGUCAGUGAUUACAGAGAAGUUACCCCGGGGAUAACUGAGUCGUCUCCAGCAAGAGUUCAUAUCGACCUGGAGGCUUGCUACUUCGCCGUCGGUUCUUCCUAUCCUGGUGGUGCAGCAGCUGCCAAGGGUGGGGUUGUUCGCCCAUUAAAAGGGAUCGUGAACUGGGUUCAGACCGUCGUGAGACAGGUUUGUUGCUUUUUGCUGGAAGUGUUUUGAUGCCUGACGGGAAGGAUCCUUUAGUACGAGAGGAACGAGGAUUCGUCGCCUCUAGUCUAUCAGUUGUCUGGCAAGGCAAUGCUGAGCAGCCACGCGAUAGUGAAUAAAAGCUGAAAGCAUCUAAGCUUGAAGUCACCCCGAAAACGAGGCAUCUUACAACCGCCAUUACAUGAUGGCGUUGAUAGAGCUGGGGUGUAAGUACCAAGGUCCGCCGAGGUAUUCAGCCCGCAGCCACUAAAAGUUGUAGCCGCUUAUA